UGGGGAAUCUUCCGCAAUGGACGAAAGUCUGACGGAGCAACGCCGCGUGAACGAUGACGGCCUUCGGGUUGUAAAGUUCUGUUAUACGGGACGAAUGGCGUAGCGAUCAAUACCCGUUACGAGUGACGGUACCGUAAGAGAAAGCCACGGCUAACUACGU
rnacentral:rRNA from 1 species